rnacentral:lncRNA from 1 species
GGUUUAGCGUAUCCACUUGCAGAUGCUCCCAGCACAGAAGGGGCCAGAUUCCCUCUAAUGCCAGAUCACCCAGAGAAAGGCUGGUGUACACAUUCCUUCAGAACGAAUUGAGAAGGUGCUUCAUAACUCAGUUGUAGGUAAGAGGUGUUUGGAGAGGAGCUCAAAUCAGUGCUUAUCACCAAGCUGCCUCUUCGGGCUGUUUCCUUUGGAUGGGGGAGGAUAUAUAGUCUGAGGCGGACCUUCUUGGUCCGAGUUCACCAUAGUUGCCCGGAUGCUGCUCUGUCUUGCUUGAUAAUUGAUCUUAGCGUGCUCUAGGGUGCACGGUCGAUCUUUACUUCCAGGCCCCUCCACCCCACCCCAUCCUGGCAGUAGGUCUGUUGGUUUCUUGCCCUGCUCCCAGGCCACCCGGUUGGUGC